rfam:Gorilla gorilla gorilla genomic chromosome, chr13, whole genome shotgun sequence
GCUGGGAACAGUGGCGCAUGGCUGUAAUCCCAGCUACUUGGGAGGUAGAGGAGGGAGAAUAGCUUGAACCUGGGAGGCAGAGGCUGCAGUGACCUGAGAUGGCGCCCCUGCACUCCCGCCUGGUUGACAGCCAGACUCUAUCUCAAAAAAAANNNNNNNNNNUUUUUUUUGAGAUAGAGUCUGGCUGUCAACCAGGCGGGAGUGCAGGGGCGCCAUCUCAGGUCACUGCAGCCUCUGCCUCCCAGGUUCAAGCUAUUCUCCCUCCUCUA